CUGUGUUCACUGCUGUAUUAUUUACAACAGUCAAAACAUGGAAACGACCUAAGUGUCCAUACACAGGUGACUGGAGAAAGAUGUGGGGUAUUUU